AGCCUAAAGAAAUUACCAAUAAUUUUAGGUGAAACCUGCCCAAUGCCUAUAUGGUGAAUGGCCGCAGUACCCUGACUGUGCUAAGGUAGCAUAAUCAGUUGGCUUUUAAAUGGAGUCGUGUAUGAAUGGAUUGAUGGGGUUAAGCUGUCUCUACUAGAUUUAUUUGAAUUUAAUGAGGAGGUGAAAAUGCCUCCGUUAAGAUAAAGGACGAUAAGACCCUUGGAGUUUUGACUAGAAAAGUUCAAUUGCUUCGUUGUUUUUGCUGGGGCGGCACAGAGGAAAAUAUUUAACCCUCUGAGGAUUAUAGGCCGAAAGUUUUAAGUGCAGUUAAACUACCCGAGGGAUAACAGCAUUAUUCUAUAUAGAGUUUGUGACCUCGAUGUUGGACUAGGAAUUAAUUAGGCUAGUCGCUUAAAUGUAUUGUUCUGUUCGAACUAUUUUUCCUACAU
rnacentral:rRNA from 1 species